rnacentral:rRNA from 1 species
GAUGAACGCUAGCUACAGGCUUAACACAUGCAAGUCGAGGGGCAGCAUGAAAGGAACUUCGGUUCUUUUUGAUGGCGACCGGCGCACGGGUGCGUAACGCGUAUCGAACCUGCCUCAUACUCGGGGAUAGCCUUGCGAAAGUAAGAUUAAUACCCGGCGGUCUCGGAUGGCCGCAUGACUGUCCGAGUGAAGAUUUACCGGUAUGAGAUGGCGAUGCGUCCCAUUAGCUAGUUGGUGAGGUAACGGCUCACCAAGGCAUCGAUGGGUAGGGGUUCUGAGAGGAAGGUCCCCCACAUUGGAACUGGGACACGGUCCAAACUCCUACGGGAGGCAGCAGUGAGGAAUAUUGGUCAAUGGACGAAAGUCUGAACCAGCCAAGUAGCGUGCAGGACGACGGCCCUCUGGGUUGUAAACUGCUUUUAGUUGGGAAUAAAAAGAGGGACGUGUCCCUUAUUGUAUGUACCAUCAGAAAAAGGACCGGCUAAUUCCGUGCCAGCAGCCGCGGUAA